rnacentral:rRNA from 1 species
UACGUAGGUGGCAAGCGUUGUCCGGAAUUAUUGGGCGUAAAGGGCUCGCAGGCGGUUUCUUAAGUCUGAUGUGAAAGCCCCCCGGCUCAACCGGGGAGGGUCAUUGGAAACUGGGAAACUUGAGUGCAGAAGAGGAGAGUGGAAUUCCACGUGUAGCGGUGAAAUGCGUAGAGAUGUGGAGGAACACCAGUGGCGAAGGCGACUCUCUGGUCUGUAACUGACGCUGAGGAGCGAAAGCGUGGGGAGCGAACAGG